UAAAUAAGCGGAGGAAAAGAAACUAACCAGGAUUGGUCUAGUAACGGCGAGUGAAGUGCCAACAGCCCAGCUUGUGAAUCGGCACUUGUGUCGAAUUGUGGUAUGCAGGUUAUUCUGUCAGCGCGUGGAUGAAGUCCCCUGGAACGGGGCAGCAAAGAAGGUGAUACUCCUGUACAUCCAUAUGCAUAAGGAAUGACCAAAGAGUCGAGUUGUUUGGGAUUGCAGCUCCAAUUGGGUGGUAAAUUCCAUUCAAGGCUAAAUACUGGUGAGAGACCGAUAGCGUACAAGUACCGUGAGGGAAAGAUGCAAAGCCGCGCGAGAGCGCUGUCAAAGAGUACCUGAAAUUGCUGGAAAGGAAGCAAAGGAAACCAGUGUGAGCCAACCUGCUUUUCUCAUAUUGCUUGCAAUUUGAGCGCUGCAGCUGGCAAUGUUCUUUUUGGCUGUUUUGCAGUGGAUGAUCACAGGCACUGUAGAUUGCCAGGGAGAACAAAAUGGUUUUCUUUUUCCCG
rnacentral:rRNA from 1 species